rnacentral:lncRNA from 1 species
UAUUUUAUUCAAGCGAUAAAAUAUAUCUAUUAAAUUUAUUUUCUAUGCCAUCAAAUAUAAUCAAUAUUAUAGAAAAAUUAAUCUAGCAACCUCACAUUAUAAACCGUCUAAAAAAUAAUAGAUAGUUUGCAUAAAAACAAAAAUAAACUAACGGUAGAUUGAGAUGUGAACUCACAGAUGAUUGUUAAGAUCGAGUGAACCACCGUUAAAACAAAUAAGAUAAA